rnacentral:rRNA from 1 species
UACGAAGGGGGCUAGCGUUGCUCGGAAUCACUGGGCGUAAAGGGCGCGUAGGCGGCGCCGUAAGUCAGGGGUGAAAUCCCGGAGCUCAACUCCGGAACUGCCCUUGAAACUGCAGUGCUAGAAUCUUGGAGAGGCGAGUGGAAUUCCGAGUGUAGAGGUGAAAUUCGUAGAUAUUCGGAAGAACACCAGUGGCGAAGGCGACUCGCUGGACAAGUAUUGACGCUGAGGUGCGAAAGCGUGGGGAGCAAACAGG